rnacentral:rRNA from 1 species
UAGAGUUGAUUCCAUGGUCAGAUUGAACGCUGGCGGCAGGCCUAACACAUGCAAGUCGAGCGGCAGCGGGAAAGUAGCUUGCUACUUUUGCCGGCGAGCGGCGGACGGGUGAGUAAUGCCUGGGGAUCUGCCCAGUCGAGGGGGAUAACAGUUGGAAACGACUGCUAAUACCGCAUACGCCCUACGGGGGAAAGGAGGGGACCUUCGGGCCUUUCGCGAUUGGAUGAACCCAGGUGGGAUUAGCUAGUUGGUGGGGUAAUGGCUCACCAAGGCGACGAUCCCUAGCUGGUCUGAGAGGAUGAUCAGCCACACUGGAACUGAGACACGGUCCAGACUCCUACGGGAGGCAGCAGUGGGGAAUAUUGCACAAUGGGGGAAACCCUGAUGCAGCCAUGCCGCGUGUGUGAAGAAGGCCUUCGGGUUGUAAAGCACUUUCAGCGAGGAGGAAAGGUUGGCGCCUAAUACAGUGUCAACUGGACG